UACGUAGGGUGCAAGCGUUAAUCGGAAUUACUGGGCGUAAAGCGUGCGCAGGCGGUUAUGUAAGACAGGUGUGAAAUCCCCCGGGCUUAACCUGGGAACUGCAUUUGUGACUGCAUAGCUAGAGUACGGUAGAGGGGGAUGGAAUUCCGCGUGUAGCAGUGAAAUGCGUAGAUAUGCAGAGGAACACCGAUGGCGAAGGCAAUCCCCUGGACCUGUACUGACGCUCAUGCACGAAAGCGUGGGGAGCAAACAGG
rnacentral:rRNA from 1 species